GGGAAGCUGGCUCAGUGGUAGAGUGCUUGCCUUGCAUGCAUGAGGCCCUGGGUUCGACUCCUCAGCACCACA
rfam:Dipodomys ordii contig_45077, whole genome shotgun sequence.